AGAUCACCGCUUUGUCUUUCUACACAUGUGAUGCUUUACCAGUGUUUAUAAAGAAGAUUCCUCUGAAGAUUUGAGAAAUAAUUUGACAUUCAUUUUUAAUGAAAUUUUUGAAAAACAUCAUGGACUGGAGACAAGACAUCCUGGGAGAAACCAUGAAAUAUUUAUCCUCCUAAAAACAUUACUUGAAUCAGAAAUAGACUAUAUUGGAUUCCUUAAACUUAGACUUACUUCCAAGACCCUCCAAAACAUGACCUGUUUUACCCACUUGGCAUGAGGUCGUACUAUACACCAACUGGAACAUCUGGCUUCGUUCAUUUUUUUCCUUCAGUCACCUGUGUUAUCAUUGGAUCGGUGUAAUUCUCAUUCUCAGAAACACUUUUCUCUGGCAGUGUUCAAUCAAAUUCUUAUCAUUUUUUAAAGUGCCUAUUCUAUUCAGCAAACUGUUCUCAGGACACUAAAAUGAAAGAAAGUCCUCCUCCAAGUCUGAUGUACAAACAAAAGAGCCAACAACCACAG